rnacentral:rRNA from 1 species
UACGUAGGGUGCGAGCGUUAAUCGGAAUUACUGGGCGUAAAGCGUGCGCAGGCGGUUUUGUAAGCCAGAUGUGAAAUCCCCCGGGCUCAACCUGGGAACUGCAUUUGUGACUGCAUAGCUAGAGUACGGUAGAGGGGGAUGGAAUUCCGCGUGUAGCAGUGAAAUGCGUAGAUAUGCGGAGGAACACCGAUGGCGAAGGCAAUCCCCUGGACCUGUACUGACGCUCAUGCA